UUCUGGGAUUUCAAAACGUAACGUGGUUUACCGAUUGCCUUAACUUUAGGGUAAUUCCAAUGUACACGAAGAAAGGAAUUCUAUUUUUCCAUUGUGGACAUACCACAAAUGACGUAAAAAUGAAUUACCGAUAUUGUAACAUAUUCUUUUUUUCCUCUAUUACAGUAAAUCCCAUUCUAGAUCGAAGGUCCAUCAAGAACUACACGUUUCAACGGAACAAAGUUCUUUUCUAUAGGAAAAACGUGCCAGGCACAAUAAAGCCGGAUGUUAACUCCCAGGGAACCGAAUCCAAUGCAACUGGUAUGAAUUCACAUGAAUUCCAUUUGUGGCAAAUAUGCGCCACUACGUCUGCUUGUGAUGUAAGAGAACGGAAACAAAAUGCAAGAUAGCAAGCAGACACGUAGAAAAGAUCUCUCGAACUCAUAAAGAAGGCAACUGAGCUUAUCCUUAAUGAUCCACGCGACUACUGAUCGUGUUAUGUAACGUUAUAACUGGUAGACAGUAAUUAACAUUAUCACGGUAAGAGAAUUUUUUAGAAAAUCACACUUUCAUUGGCGAUAGAUUUUA
rnacentral:misc_RNA from 1 species